rnacentral:rRNA from 1 species
GCCUAAUACAUGCAAGUAGAACGCUGAAGAGAGGAGCUUGCUCUUCUUGGAUGAGUUGCGAACGGGUGAGUAACGCGUAGGUAACCUGCCUUGUAGCGGGGGAUAACUAUUGGAAACGAUAGCUAAUACCGCAUAACAAUGGAUGACACAUGUCAUUUAUUUGAAAGGGGCAAUUGCUCCACUACAAGAUGGACCUGCGUUGUAUUAGCUAGUAGGUGAGGUAAUGGCUCACCUAGGCGACGAUACAUAGCCGACCUGAGAGGGUGAUCGGCCACACUGGGACUGAGACACGGCCCAGACUCCUACGGGAGGCAGCAGUAGGGAAUCUUCGGCAAUGGGGGCAACCCUGACCGAGCAACGCCGCGUGAGUGAAGAAGGUUUUCGGAUCGUAAAGCUCUGUUGUAAGUCAAGAACGGGUGUGAGAGUGGAAAGUUCACACUGUGACGGUAGCUUACCAGAAAGGGACGGCUAACUACGUGCCAGCAGCCGCGGUAAUACGUAGGUCCCGAGCGUUGUCCGGAUUUAUUGGGCGUAAAGCGAGCGCAGGCGGUUUGAUAAGUCUGAAGUUAAAGGCUGUGGCUCAACCAUAGUUCGCUUUGGAAACUGUCAAACUUGAGUGCAGAAGGGGAGAGUGGAAUUCCAUGUGUAGCGGUGAAAUGCGUAGAUAUAUGGAGGAACACCGGUGGCGAAAGCGGCUCUCUGGUCUGUAACUGACGCUGAGGCUCGAAAGCGUGGGGAGCGAACAGGAUUAGAUACCCUGGUAGUCCACGCCGUAAACGAUGAGUGCUAGGUGUUGGAUCCUUUCCGGGAUUCAGUGCCGCAGCUAACGCAUUAAGCACUCCGCCUGGGGAGUACGACCGCAAGGUUGAAACUCAAAGGAAUUGACGGGGGCCCGCACAAGCGGUGGAGCAUGUGGUUUAAUUCGAAGCAACGCGAAGAACCUUACCAGGUCUUGACAUCCCGAUGCUAUUUCUAGAGAUAGAAAGUUACUUCGGUACAUCGGUGACAGGUGGUGCAUGGUUGUCGUCAGCUCGUGUCGUGAGAUGUUGGGUUAAGUCCCGCAACGAGCGCAACCCCUAUUGUUAGUUGCCAUCAUUCAGUUGGGCACUCUAGCGAGACUGCCGGUAAUAAACCGGAGGAAGGUGGGGAUGACGUCAAAUCAUCAUGCCCCUUAUGACCUGGGCUACACACGUGCUACAAUGGUUGGUACAACGAGUUGCGAGUCGGUGACGGCGAGCUAAUCUCUUAAAGCCAAUCUCAGUUCGGAUUGUAGGCUGCAACUCGCCUACAUGAAGUCGGAAUCGCUAGUAAUCGCGGAUCAGCACGCCGCGGUGAAUACGUUCCCGGGCCUUGUACACACCGCCCGUCACACCACGAGAGUUUGUAACACCCGAAGUCGGUGAGGUAACCUUUUGGAGCCAGCCGCCUAAGGUGGGACAGAUGAUUGGGGUGAAGUC